UGGGUAGGGGAGCGUUCUGUAAGCCUGUGAAGGUGGCCUGUGAGGGUUGCUGGAGGUAUCAGAAGUGCGAAUGCUGACAUAAGUAACGAUAAAGCGGGUGAAAAGCCCGCUCGCCGGAAGACCAAGGGUUCCUGUCCAACGUUAAUCGGGGCAGGGUGAGUCGACCCCUAAGGCGAGGCCGAAAGGCGUAGUCGAUGGGAAACGGGUUAAUAUUCCCGUACUUGGUGUUACUGCGAAGGGGGGACGGAGAAGGCUAUGUUGGCCGGGCGACGGUUGUCCCGGUUUAAGCGUGUAGGUGUGUGUUCCAGGUAAAUCCGGUUCACUUUAACACUGAGGCGUGACGACGAGGCACUACGGUGCUGAAGCAACAAAUGCCCUGCUUCCAGGAAAAGCCUCUAAGCAUCAGGUAACAUCAAAUCGUACCCCAAACCGACACAGGUGGUCAGGUAGAGAAUACCAAGGCGCUUGAGAGAACUCGGGUGAAGGAACUAGGCAAAAUGGUGCCGUAACUUCGGGAGAAGGCACGCUGACACGUAGGUGAAGUGAUUUACUCACGGAGCUGAAGUCAGUCGAAGAUACCAGCUGGCUGCAACUGUUUAUUAAAAACACAGCACUGUGCAAACACGAAAGUGGACGUAUACGGUGUGACGCCUGCCCGGUGCCGGAAGGUUAAUUGAUGGGGUCAGCGCAAGCGAAGCUCCUGAUCGAAGCCCCGGUAAACGGCGGCCGUAACUAUAACGGUCCUAAGGUAGCGAAAUUCCUUGUCGGGUAAGUUCCGACCUGCACGAAUGGCGUAAUGAUGGCCAGGCUGUCUCCACCCGAGACUCAGUGAAAUUGAACUCGCUGUGAAGAUGCAGUGUACCCGCGGCAAGACGGAAAGACCCCGUGAACCUUUACUAUAGCUUGACACUGAACAUUGAGCCUUGAUGUGUAGGAUAGGUGGGAGGCUUUGAAGUGUGGACGCCAGUCUGCAUGGAGCCGACCUUGAAAUACCACCCUUUAAUGUUUGAUGUUCUAACGUGGACCCGUGAUCCGGGUUGCGGACAGUGUCUGGUGGGUAGUUUGACUGGGGCGGUCUCCUCCUAAAGAGUAACGGAGGAGCACGAAGGUUGGCUAAUCCUGGUCGGACAUCAGGAGGUUAGUGCAAUGGCAUAAGCCAGCUUGACUGCGAGCGUGACGGCGCGAGCAGGUGCGAAAGCAGGUCAUAGUGAUCCGGUGGUUCUGAAUGGAAGGGCCAUCGCUCAACGGAUAAAAGGUACUCCGGGGAUAACAGGCUGAUACCGCCCAAGAGUUCAUAUCGACGGCGGUGUUUGGCACCUCGAUGUCGGCUCAUCACAUCCUGGGGCUGAAGUAGGUCCCAAGGGUAUGGCUGUUCGCCAUUUAAAGUGGUACGCGAGCUGGGUUUAGAACGUCGUGAGACAGUUCGGUCCCUAUCUGCCGUGGGCGCUGGAGAACUGAGGGGGGCUGCUCCUAGUACGAGAGGACCGGAGUGGACGCAUCACUGGUGUUCGGGUUGUCAUGCCAAUGGCACUGCCCGGUAGCUAAAUGCGGAAGAGAUAAGUGCUGAAAGCAUCUAAGCACGAAACUUGCCCCGAGAUGAGUUCU
rnacentral:rRNA from 2 species